UUGCUUUGGCAGCACAUAUGCUAAAAUCGGAAAGAUACAGAGAAGAUUAGCAUGGCCCGUGUGCAAGGAUGACAUGCAAAUUUGUGAAGUGUUCCAUAUUUUU
ensembl:snRNA U6 U6 spliceosomal RNA